ACACAAGGGAGGUAAACUACUACAGUGCACAGACCAUCAAGAAUACACCAAGAUGAAAUCUGCUGUUGUGUUCAUCACAGUUUUGGCCAUCAUGGUACUGUUUCUGAUUGACAAAGGGUUUUGCGGUAAUCGGUGUGCUGAAAUGGGUCUACCCUGCCCAUGUAAAUAUGAUUGGGUAUGCUCAAUCCCUUUUAAUCCGCUUGAUAACAAGUUUGGAAAAUGGAGACGUUG